GCUAAUUGCUACGAUAUCAUUAUAAUGCCCGACCUUAGUACCGAUCGCAGUGUCAAAUUCAUCGUAAAAAGGUGACAAAUCGGUGACAGCAGGUUAUUUUUU
rnacentral:ncRNA from 2 species